rnacentral:hammerhead_ribozyme from 1 species
AUUCAUCUGACGAGUCCCAAAUAAAACGAAACACGCGUCCUGUAU